GGAGAGCUCAGUGGUAGAGCGCAUGCUUAGCACGCAUGAGGUCAUGGGUUCGAUCCCCAGCACCUCCG
rnacentral:tRNA from 1 species